GUGUCAGCAGCCGCGGUAAUACCAGCUCUCCGAGUGGUGGGGACGUUUAUUGGGCCUGAAGCAUCCGUAGCCAGCUGAGCAAGUCCCCAGUUAAAUCCAGCGAUUUAAUCGUUGGACUGCUGGGGAUACUGUCCGGCUUGGGGGUGGGAGAGGCCGACGGUAUUCCCGGGGUAGGGGUGAAAUCCUAUAAUCCCGGGAGGACCACCAGUGGCGAAGGCUGUUGGCUAAAACAUGCCCGACGGUGAGGGAUGAAAGCUGGGGGAGCGAACCGGAGUAGAUACCCGGGUAGUCCCAGCUGUAAACGAUGCAGGCUAGGUGUUAGGGCGGCCACGUGCCGCUCUAGUGCCGCAGGGAAGCUGUUAAGCCUGCCGCCUGGGGAGUACGGCCGCAAGGCUGAAACUUAAAUGAAUUGACGAGG
rnacentral:rRNA from 1 species